AUGGUGGCCCGGUGGCUGCUACAGCUAGUGCUUCUUCUUGGCCUCGCCGGCGUUCUUCAGGUCCAUGGCCAGGUCGACAAGUUAGCCAGUUUCAUAACCAUAGACUGUGGCCUGCCGGAGAAUUCCCCCGGCUACAUGGACAACGUCACCAAGCUCCGGGCAACCGGGGACGCCGGCUUCACCAACACCGGCACCAACCACAACAUCUCCACCGAGUACAUCACCCCGACGAUGGGCUGGACUUGGCACACCGUGCGCAGCUUCCCCAUCGGCGUGCGCAACUGCUACACGAUCAACCCUGUAGGAUCGGCCGGGCCCAACUACCUCAUCCGUGCCUUUUUCAUGUAUGGAAACUACGACGGCCUCGAUAGUCCGCCCAUCUUCGACAUUUAUCUCGGAGUCAACUACUGGAAAACUGUGAACAUCACUGCCGCCGACAUGCCAUUGAUCGUGGAGGUCAUCGCCUACGUCUAUGGCGGCACUGUGCAGGUAUGUCUCGUGAACACCGGCUCCGGGACGCCAUUCAUCACCAGCCUGGCCCUAAGACCCCUCAAGACGACGCUCUACCCGCAAGUCAACGCGACGCAGGGGCUUGUUCUUAUCACCAGGUCCAGCUUUGGCACUAAUAAGACUGUGAGGUACCCGGACGAUGCUUACGACCGGGUAUGGCUCCCGUGGACCAAGCCGCAUCCGGACGAGUGGUUGGAGAUCUCAACGGCCGAGAACGUGGAAGACAACCUCGAAAGCUUCGAGGUGCCCUCCGCCGUGAUGCGCACCGCCGUCACGUCCGCCAACGCCUCCUCCCCCGUCCGCUUCUCGUGGGACGCGGUGCGGAACGCCAACUACCACGUCCCCGGGUACUCCUGGAUGCUCUACUUCGCGGAGCUGCAGAAGGACGCCGUGCGCGGGUUCUACAUCACCACCAACGGCGAGCUCUCGUACCCGCACGUCAUGACGCCGGCGUACCUGGCAACCGACGCCGUCUUCCAGCGCAAACCUGUCCAUGGCUUCGACCGGUACGAGAUCUCGCUGAACGCCACCGCGAACUCGACGCUCCCGCCGAUCAUCAACGCCGUCGAGGUCUUCUCGGUCCUCCCUACCACCGGCGUACCCACGGCCGCUCAGGAUGUUUCUGCCGUCACGGCGGUCAGAGACAAGUACCGGGUGAAGAAGAACUGGAUGGGGGAUCCCUGCGCGCCGAGGAAAUUUGCGUGGGAUGGAUUGAGUUGCGGCUACGCUCUCUCCGGACCACCAACUGUCAAAGGCUUGAAUCUGUCUUCAAUGGGUCUGAGUGGCAAUAUCUCGUCUUCUUUUGGGGAUCUCAAAGGUUUACAAUACCUGGAUUUGUCUCGCAACAAUCUCACCGGCUCCAUUCCUGACACCCUUUCACAAUUGUCAUCGCUUACACUUCUUGAUUUGACAAGAAACCGGCUUACUGGAGAAAUUCCUUCCAUGCUUCUGAAAAAAAGCCAAGAUGGCUUCCUAACUCUAAGAUACGAUAACAAUCCGGACCUCUGCAGCAAUGGCAAUUCAUGUGUGCCUCCAAAGAAGAAGAGCAAUUCAAUGGUUCCUGUCUAUGUUGCUAUUCCAAUAGUUGCAGUACUCGUGAUUGUGUUGCUUUUAGUGUUGCUCAUGUGCAUGCGAAGGAGAAGGCAAGGAACAGCAAGCAACAGCAUCAAGCCGCAGAAUGAGACGCGCUUUACCCUGUCGCACUCUUGGAAUAGAAACAAAGACAGCUCGCUGCAACUGAACAAUCAGCGAUUCACGUACGAGGAAAUAAAGGUCAUAACGAACAACUUCCAGCGAGUGAUCGGCCAAGGAGGGUUUGGUAAAGUCUAUGAUGGAUUCUUGGAGAAUGGCACCCAGGUGGCUGUCAAGCUUCGGUCUGAGUCAUCAGCUCAAGGUGUACAAGAGUUCCUGGUCGAGGCUCAGACGUUAGCUAAGAUUCAUCACAAAAAUCUUGUAACCAUGAUUGGCUACUGCAACGAUAGAGAGCACCUAGCCCUCGUGUACGAGUACAUGUCCGAAGGAGCCCUACAUGAACAUCUGAGAGGCAGACACUACGACACAACAUUAACCUGGGCACAGAGACUUCGUAUUGCACAGGAAUCCGCACAAGGGCUUGAGUAUCUACACAAGGGCUGCAAUCCACCCCUCAUCCAUAGGGAUGUGAAGACAUCAAACAUCUUGCUAAAUGCGAACCUUGAGGCCAAGAUUGCGGAUUUUGGCCUACUCAAGGCAUUCAAUUGCGAUGAUGAUACCCAUGUGUCCACAGCCAGGUUGGUUGGCACGCAUGGUUACAUUGCCCCUGAGUACCUAACAACAUUGCAGCUGACUAAUAAGACUGAUGUGUAUAGUUUUGGAGUAGUGUUGCUGGAAAUAGUCACGGGCCAGCCUCGCAUCUUGAAUAAUCCGGAACCUUCAAGCAUCACCAAGUGGGUCCAGGAACGGCUUUCCCAGGGAAACAUAGAGGGCGUGGUGGAUGCGCGCAUGCAUGGAGAGCACGACAUCAACAGCGUGUGGAAAGCAGCGGGCAUUGCUCUCAAGUGUACUGAGCAAACACCGGCGCAACGGCCCACAAUGACCGAGGUGGUGGUACAGCUGCAAGAGUGCCUCAAGCUCGAGAGUGUGCGCUGCAAAGGUGGCAGCAUGGAUCCUGAGUUUUACAUGGCCAGUGGCAGCGACCCAUUCUCAAGUUAUAAUCGAUACGCCACUAACCAGUCUGCUAGUACGAGCCAUAGCAAUGAUGUAUUUGAGGUGGAGCGUUUAGGCAGGGUUCCAACCAUGACUACUGGUCCUGUCGCCAGGUGA
rnacentral:rRNA from 1 species